UACGAAGGGGGCUAGCGUUGUUCGGAAUUACUGGGCGUAAAGCGCACGUAGGCGGCUAUUUAAGUCAGGGGUGAAAUCCCGGGGCUCAACCCCGGAACUGCCUUUGAUACUGGAUGUCUUUGAGUGCAGAAGAGGUGAGUGGAAUUCCGAGUGUAGAGGUGAAAUUCGUAGAUAUUCGGAGGAACACCAGUGGCGAAGGCGGCUCACUGGUCUGUCACUGACGCUGAGGUGCGAAAGCGUGGGGAGCGAACAGG
rnacentral:rRNA from 1 species